rnacentral:rRNA from 1 species
AAUGAACGCUGGCGGCAUGCCUAACACAUGCAAGUCGAACGAAGGCUUCGGCCUUAGUGGCGCACGGGUGCGUAACGCGUGGGAAUCUGCCCCUUGGUUCGGAAUAACAGUUAGAAAUGACUGCUAAUACCGGAUGAUGACGUAAGUCCAAAGAUUUAUCGCCGAGGGAUGAGCCCGCGUAGGAUUAGCUAGUUGGUGUGGUAAGAGCGCACCAAGGCGACGAUCCUUAGCUGGUCUGAGAGGAUGAUCAGCCACACUGGGACUGAGACACGGCCCAGACUCCUACGGGAGGCAGCAGUGGGGAAUAUUGGGCAAUGGGCGAAAGCCUGAUCCAGCAAUGCCGCGUGAGUGAUGAAGGCCUUAGGGUUGUAAAGCUCUUUUACCCGGGAUGAUAAUGACAGUACCGGGAGAAUAAGCUCCGGCUAACUCCGUG